rnacentral:rRNA from 2 species
GGGUUGUGAGGUUAAGCGACUAAGCGUACACGGUGGAUGCCUAGGCAGUCAGAGGCGAUGAAGGGCGUGCUAAUCUGCGAUAAGCGUCGGUAAGCUGAUAUGAAGCGUUAUACCCGACGAUACCCGAAUGGGGAAACCCAGUGUGUUUCGACACACUAUCAUGACAUGAAUACAUAGUGUCAUGAGGCGAACCGGGGGAACUGAAACAUCUCAGUACCCCGAGGAAAAGAAAUCAACCGAGAUUCCCCCAGUAGCGGCGAGCGAACGGGGAGGAGCCCAGAACCUGAAUCAGUUUGUGUGUUAGUGGAAGCGUCUGGAAAGUCGCACAGUAAAGGGUGAUAGUCCCGUACACAAAAAUGCACAGAUUGUGAGUUCGAUGAGUAGGGCGGGACACGUGACAUCCUGUCUGAAUAUGGGGGGACCAUCCUCCAAGGCUAAAUACUCCUGACUGACCGAUAGUGAACCAGUACCGUGAGGGAAAGGCGAAAAGAACCCCGGCGAGGGGAGUGAAAUAGAACCUGAAACCGUGUACGUACAAGCAGUGGGAGCCUACUUGUUAGGUGACUGCGUACCUUUUGUAUAAUGGGUCAGCGACUUAUAUUCUGUAGCAAGGUUAACCGUAUAGGGGAGCCGCAGGGAAACCGAGUCUUAACUGGGCGUUAAGUUGCAGGGUAUAGACCCGAAACCCGGUGAUCUAGCCAUGGGCAGGUUGAAGGUUGGGUAACACUAACUGGAGGACCGAACCGACUAAUGUUGAAAAAUUAGCGGAUGACUUGUGGCUGGGGGUGAAAGGCCAAUCAAACCGGGAGAUAGCUGGUUCUCCCCGAAAGCUAUUUAGGUAGCGCCUCGUGAAUUCAUCUUCGGGGGUAGAGCACUGUUUCGGCUAGGGGGUCAUCCCGACUUACCAACCCGAUGCAAACUACGAAUACCGAAGAAUGUUAUCACGGGAGACACACGGCGGGUGCUAACGUUCGUCGUGAAGAGGGAAACAACCCAGACCGCCAGCUAAGGUCCCAAAGUCAUGGUUAAGUGGGAAACGAUGUGGGAAGGCA